CAGUAGCCGCGGUAAUACAGAGGGUGCGAGCGUUAAUCGGAUUUACUGGGCGUAAAGCGUGCGUAGGCGGCUUUUUAAGUCGGAUGUGAAAGCCCUGGGCUCAACCUGGGAAUUGCAGUGGAUACUGGGUCACUAGAGUGUGGUAGAGGAUAGUGGAAUUUCCGGUGUAGCAGUGAAAUGCGUAGAGAUCGGAAGGAACAUCUGUGGCGAAGGCGACUAUCUGGGCCAACACUGACACUGAGGCACGAAAGCGUGGGGAGCAAACAGGAUUAGAUACCCGGGUAGUCCCUGUCUCUUAUAC
rnacentral:rRNA from 1 species